UCUUGUGCAGAAAGGUCGCAUUGUGUGGGAGUGUACUGAAGGCUAAGCAGCUGGGGCGGCAGCACAGGGAUAGGACAGGAGGCAGCUGAAGGCUUUUGUGGAAGUUAGGGACCGCACUCGGCCAUGGAGUUCAAGGAUAGCCCUGGAUUCUUGGUUCAGGCCUCAGCUUCCCACGGGUGGGAAACUCAGACACCAAGGUGGGCUGCUUGUUCUCCGAUCAGGUCAUGGGCACCCCCACCCCAGGUCCCAUCCCUGCCCGGAGACUGUGGCCCCAGGCCUGCAGGGUGAUACUGAGUCGCUAUGUGCGGGCUCCAGUGGCUGGGUCAGGCAGAGAUGCCAACCCGCUGGACUGUGCCCAAUGUACCCCCACAAGGAGAUCGCUGGCCUGUUUCGCUUCUAAAGCUGCAAAAAGAGACCGUGGUUAGCUUCAGAAAGAUCCAGGGGCAAAAAUGAAACCCUACAUUGAUUCUUCUAACAUUCCCAGAGAGCCAACCCCCAGCCCAACAACCUUUGUAAACUGGGAACUUCAGAAAUGACAUGUUCCCGGGUUAUCCUGGCCCCUUAGGAAUAAGGAACCUCCCAACUGACUCAGUUGAACCCGACUCCUUUCUACUGAGUACAAAAACAAUAACAAUGGACCCGAAACAAGACUUAAGUUGAACUAUUUGAUGUAUUAGGAUGUGCUCAGAGGCAUUAAGAGUUCCUUUGCUAGUAAAACAUACACAGUAAACAGGAAACCAUUUAUUUACAAAUACAAUUGCCCUAGACUAACCACAUUCCAUGUAUGUAAUUCAUUAAUAGAACUUUUCCUUCUUCUUUCCGUCCCUUUGGAAACAGAAUUUUAACCUCCAAAAUAGCUGGUGCUUGGGAGAGGGAAGGAGAGUGGUUAUCCUACCUGUUUCUUGAAAAAGAAGCAAAACUUCCUGGCCAAAACUGUCUGUGGAGAUGAUAGACACUAUAAACUAAUCAAAAUAUAUGGCAAGGGUUUUGUUUUCCUUUUGACUCUUCAGAAAAGAAGUUUGUUGCUUGCGGUUGCUGUCAACAGAGUUGCCCAGUGGAAAGCGACUGGUAACUUAGUCCUGGGUGGUGUGUGUGCAUUUACAUGUGAACAAAACUAAAAUUUAGACAGCUGAAGCUGGCUGAGAAUAUAUGAAAAUUGUGAUCUGUAAAACCUCCUCUGUUGUCAUAGUUUAAAAAUGUCUGCGGAAGACGCCUGUUGGAUUACUUCCUUUCUGAGAAAAGCGAUGCCCAGGUACCGUGCUAGGGAGGGCUUUCUGGUUACCAGGAGAGCUAGGAGCCUUUAUUUAUAGCACCUGAGUCUGCUGUGUUAAUUGAGGAAGUUUUCUCCAAGUGAGUCUUCUCCUAUAAGUUGACAGAGGAGUAUUGUUUGGGGAAGAACUGGCCAGAGGAAGGCAGAACCAAGUGUGAAUUUUCUGUGUGCCCCAGUGAGUGGUAUUUAAACACGAAAAGCAUGGAACACACCUGAAUUGUGUCUGGGGCUUUGUAAGUUCCCACUACUAGACAUGGUUACAAAAGGACGGAAAGAAUGAUCACUGAGGCUCAUGUUUCAUUAUUGUAGCUACAAAAGAACGGGACAAACACUGAGAGGGAGGCACAAACUUUUUUUAAAAAAAAAAUUUAUUUUUUGAAAAAGGACAGGAGGUGUUUUGAUGAAGAGCUUCCUGAGAGAUCACACUGUAGUUCUACCCUGGGGACUGCCUCUCAGCAGAAGGUGCAGGCGGAGAGGUCUGGAGAGGAGACCUGAAGACAAAUGAAAGAGGAAGACGGUGAGGCCACGUAGGACAUGCACAUGUAAGCUGGGGUGCAUGUGAACAGUGGUGUCAGAGCAUCCUCCAGAGAGCCUGCCUGCCUAAAGUGUACCUUGGGUGUGAGAUGCCCCGUUCAGGGAAGUUUUGCUUACUCUGCCAAAGUAGAAAUGGAAAGGAGACUCAUGUUCAUCAUCACAUCAAGGGAGAAAGGCCACCCAGUCCUCUGAAACUAUCAAAACUUUUAUGGCUGCUGAGCAGAGGACUGUGUUCAUCUCAAGCAGCUCAGGUUUCUGCCAUGCAUCCUGGGCAUUUCCAUACCAGCCUGGCAACUACAUCAAAACCAGAUGUGUACAGUUGCUGUGAACUUCCACCCAGGAGCUGAGGCGCUGGGCAGAUGUCCCGAGCAAGACGGUAUGGAAGUACAGUGCCCAAAACACAUCCAGUAUCCUGAAAGACCAUGGGACGGUGAGCAGAGGUGACCUACAUCAAGAGGAGCUGCUGGCUCCUCCAACUGCCCAGUGCUUAGCCUGCCUGCUUCUGGGCAGCAGGGGAGCUCCUACAAGCUGCCCCCUUUUUUCUUCUUGUGGUGGACACCAGCAGCAGUUUGUUCGUCUCUCUCCCAUGUCUUCUCCUCCCAUCAAGGAACUGAGUGUGGACUUCCAUUUGGAAUAACAAGAGGUUGUCCAUCGAGAGCAAGAAAGCAGUAGCAAAUCUUCUUCAUUAAUAAAUAAACCCAGCCACAGUCACUUUUAAAUUGAUAAACUCUUCUCAAUAACUUUUUCUUUUUCAGUCACUUGGCCCAUGACAUGACAAAGCCAUUUCAACCCAUGAGCAAAAAGAAAAAUUAAAAGGUAGACUGAAUCCUUAUUUCUCCUUUGCUCUCUGGGUUCAACAUCCUUCACUUCCUUACCUCCCAGCAUUCCCUACAACCAUUACCCCAUCUGGAGAGUUAAAACACUUGUUCUUUACAAUCUUCUAGGGUUUUGAGCACUCUCAGAGUAAUUGGACAGAGAACACACACCCACCCUAUCUCAGGUCCACAUCCCAACCAAGUAUGUUAUGACCACCAUCAUUGAUUACACUUUACAUAGCCUGAAAGGGCCAGAAAGGAAGACUUCUUUAUUUACCAAAAGUAGCAAGAAACUUUACUGAGAGAAAUAAAUUGAACAUUGUCCAUGGCUAUCUACUGGUGAACUCCUUGAAACAUAAUCUCUGGUCUU